GAGUUUGAUCGUGGCUCAGAUUGAACGCUGGCGGCAGGCCUAACACAUGCAAGUCGGGCGGUAGAGAGAAGCUUGCUUCUCUUGAGAGCGGCGGACGGGUGAGUAAUGCCUAGGAAUCUGCCUGGUAGUGGGGGAUAACGCUCGGAAACGGACGCUAAUACCGCAUACGUCCUACGGGAGAAAGCAGGGGACCUUCGGGCCUUGCGCUAUCAGAUGAGCCUAGGUCGGAUUAGCUAGUUGGUGAGGUAAUGGCUCACCAAGGCGACGAUCCGUAACUGGUCUGAGAGGAUGAUCAGUCACACUGGAACUGAGACACGGUCCAGACUCCUACGGGAGGCAGCAGUGGGGAAUAUUGGACAAUGGGCGAAAGCCUGAUCCAGCCAUGCCGCGUGUGUGAAGAAGGUCUUCGGAUUGUAAAGCACUUUAAGUUGGGAGGAAGGGCAGUAAAUUAAUAACUUUGCUGUUUUGUACGUUACCGUACAGAAUAAAGCACCGGCUAAACUCUGUGCCAGCCGCCGACC
rnacentral:rRNA from 1 species